UGGCGAACGGGUGAGUAACACGUGGGCAAUCUGCCCUUCACUCUGGGACAAGCCCUGGAAACGGGGUCUAAUACCGGAUAACACUCUGUCCCGCAUGGGACGGGGUUAAAAGCUCCGGCGGUGAAGGAUGAGCCCGCGGCCUAUCAGCUUGUUGGUGGGGUAAUGGCCUACCAAGGCGACGACGGGUAGCCGGCCUGAGAGGGCGACCGGCCACACUGGGACUGAGACACGGCCCAGACUCCUACGGGAGGCAGCAGUGGGGAAUAUUGCACAAUGGGCGAAAGCCUGAUGCAGCGACGCCGCGUGAGGGAUGACGGCCUUCGGGUUGUAAACCUCUUUCAGCAGGGAAGAAGCGAAAGU
rnacentral:rRNA from 1 species